rnacentral:tRNA from 1 species
GCGGGCGUAGCUCAGUUGGUUAGAGCACCAGAUUGUGGAUCUGGGGGUCGCCGGUUCAAGCCCGGUCGCUCGCCCCA